ACGGCUCAGUAACACGUCGGUAACCUACCCUCGGGAGGGGGAUAACCCCGGGAAACUGGGGCUAAUUCCCCAUAGGCCUGAGGUACUGGAAGGUCCUCAGGCCGAAAGGGACUUAUGUCCGCCCGAGGAUGGGCCGGCGGCCGAUUAGGUAGUUGGUGGGGUAAUGGCCCACCAAGCCGAAGAUCGGUACGGGCUGUGAGAGCAGGAGCCCGGAGAUGGACACUGAGACACGGGUCCAGGCCCUACGGGGCGCAGCAGGCGCGAAACCUCCGCAAUGCGGGAAACCGCGACGGGGGGACCCCGAGUGCCGUGGCAACGCCACGGCUUUUCCGGAGUGUAAAAAGCUCCGGGAAUAAGGGCUGGGCAAGGCCGGUGGCAGCCGCCGCGGUAAUACCGGCGGCCCGAGUGGUGGCCGCUAUUAUUGGGCCUAAAGCGUCCGUAGCCGGGCCCGUAAGUCCCUGGCGAAAUCCCACGGCUCAACCGUGGGGCUUGCUGGGGAUACUGCGGGUCUUGGGACCGGGAGAGGCGGGGGGUACCCCUGGGGUAGGGGUGAAAUCCUAUAAUCCCAGGGGGACCGCCAGUGGCGAAGGCGCCCCGCUGGAACGGGCCCGACGGUGAGGGACGAAGGCCAGGGGAGCAAACCGGAUUAGAUACCCGGGUAGUCCUGGCUGUAAAGGAUGCGGGCUAGGUGUCGGGUGAGCCUCGAGCUCGCCCGGUGCCGUAGGGAAGCCGUUAAGCCCGCCGCCUGGGGAGUACGGCCGCAAGGCUGAAACUUAAAGGAAUUGGCGGGGGAG
rnacentral:rRNA from 1 species